AGUGAAUGCUGGCGGUAGGCCUAACACAUGCAAGUCGAACGGCAGCACAGUAAGAGCUUGCUCUUACGGGUGGCGAGUGGCGGACGGGUGGGGAAUACAUCGGAAUCUACUUUUUCGUGGGGGAUAACGUAGGGAAACUUACGCUAAUACCGCAUACGACCUACGGGUGAAAGCAGGGGAUCUUCGGACCUUGCGCGAUUGAAUGAGCCGAUGUCGGAUUAGCUAGUUGGCGGGGUAAAGGCCCACCAAGGCGACGAUCCGUAGCUGGUCUGAGAGGAUGAUCAGCCACACUGGAACUGAGACACGGUCCAGACUCCUACGGGAGGCAGCAGUGGGGAAUAUUGGACAAUGGGCGCAAGCCUGAUCCAGCCAUACCGCGUGGGUGAAGAAGGCCUUCGGGUUGUAAAGCCCUUUUGUUGGGAAAGAAAAGCAGCAGGUUAAUACCCCGCUGUUCUGACGGUACCCAAAGAAUAAGCACCGGCUAACUUCGUG
rnacentral:rRNA from 1 species